GUGAGGAAUAUUGCGCAAUGGAGGCAACUCUGACGCAGCCAUGCCGCGUGCAGGAAGAAGGCGCUACGCGUUGUAAACUGCUUUUAACCGGGAAGAAACCCCAGGACGUGUCCUGGGUUGACGGUACCGGAGGAAUAAGCACCGGCUAACUUCGUGCCAGCAGCCGCGGUAAUACGAAGGGUGCAAGCGUUAUCCGGAUUCAUUGGGUUUAAAGGGUGCGUAGGCGGAGCGUUAAGUCAGUGGUGAAAUCCUGCAGCUUAACUGUAGAAUUGCCAUGGAUACUGGCGCUAUUGAGUGCGAUUGAAGUGGGCGGAAUGUGCCGUGUAGCGGUGAAAUGCUUAGAUAUGGCACAGAACACCAAUUGCGAAGGCAGCUCACUAAGGCGAUACUGACGCUGAGGCACGAAAGCGUGGGGAUCGAACAGGAUUAGAAACCCGUGUAGUCC
rnacentral:rRNA from 1 species